CACAAAGCCGUAACUUUACCGAGCUCCGCGGCACAAACACUUCACCGUAAACGUCUUCCUCGCGCUCCUCGCGUCUCUUCGUGUCGUCGGCGUGUGGAGACGCAGACAAACACUGCUCCGGUUUAUUUUACGGAGGGCAGGAGACUGAACCGCCAUCAUCUGCAGUAAUGUCUAAAAACACAAAGAGCACCAUUCAGAGGCCUCUGUAGCCACAACCCACACCCACACGAUUACAAGGACACCCGGACCCAUCGUCCUCCAGCCUGGAGUCAUCAGAGUUUCAGCUUUCCGAGGAGUUGGAGGGUACAGGUGCUUCCCUGGGACUGUCACAGAUGGAGCCAUGAAGAUCCAGAGCCAGGCAGAGAGGCCCCACGCUCUGAAAAUUACUUUGGAAACUCUGUUUAUACAUAUAUUUAUAAAUGACUUGACUUAGUAGAGAUGAACUAUAGACUUUCUCACUUCAGAGAGCGGCUGAACUUGAUGCAAACCUACGCAGCUGACGCAGGGCAAUUGAUUUAACCCAUAAAAUAUUCAUAGCAAGACGUUUUGACACACUUUGUAUUUAUUAAAAGUCACCUGGACUAAAUAAUGCAUUGUGUGCAGUGACACUGGAGACGCCUCAGUCACACAAUAGAGAAAAAGCAUUAAGGAUGUGCAUGAAACCUACAGCUCAUCUCGUAUUUACCUCUCGUGUAACGUAACUCGUUUUGAAAGGCAGUGAUACCCGUGUGUUUGCUGAAUCACUAUUCUAACUGAAAUAUGUCUAUGAGAUGUAAUCACACACAAGAACCACUGUUUACAGCUUCACUCAACAGAGGGGAACUAUUUGUAACUAACGAUUGAGCACCGUCACGCUCGUAGUCGUUUUCAAAUCAAAUGCACCUUUACAAGUGCAAAAUAAAAAGCCUGUGUGUUUACUGGUCCCUAC